GUGUCCCUGGAGAAUCACGGAGCGAUACAGACAAUUCCAGCAUCUCACUUCUACCUCAGGAAGCAAAAAAGAGCUACAUUUAAGAUGGAAAAGAUAUUAAAACCUAGAAAGCUCUUCCACU
rnacentral:lncRNA from 1 species